UCAUACAGAUACGCAAGUAGGUCAUAGUGAUCCGGUGGUUCAUUAUGGAAUGGCCAUCGCUCAACGGAUAAAAGUUACUCUAGGGAUAACAGGCUGAUCAAUCCCGAGAGUCCAUAUUGACGGAUUGGUUUGGCACCUCGAUGUCGACUCAUCACAUCCUGGGGUUGUAGGCGCUCCCAAGGGUUCGGCUGUUCGCCGAGUAAAGUGGUACGUGAGUUGGGUUAAGUA
rnacentral:rRNA from 2 species